rnacentral:lncRNA from 1 species
CUGUGAUAGUAAAUACAGACCUCUAGACACUGAGCAAUGGCAGUGCACACCUUUAUUUAGUACUCUGAAGGCAGAGGUAGGUUGGAGCUCUGUGAGUUCAGGGCUAGCCUGGUUUACAGAGUGAGUUCCAGGACAGCCAAGGCUACACAGAGAAACUCUAUCUGGAAAAACCAAACCAAACCAAAAGCAAACAAACAAUAGGCAGACAGACAAAACUCAAAAACAAAACAAAACAAAACAAAAACAAACCUCAGAAGCGUUUAACUUAGCAGACCACCAGUUUCCACUAACCCAAGAAAUAUGAUAGAUAAAUGCCCUUGAUGGUGUCACAUGCCUUUAAAGCUGCUGAAGGGUCCAUGAGAAAAACAGGAGAAAUUGGGGGAUGUGGUGAAUACAGAUUGUGCUUAAGAUAGAUUAAGGGAAGUGUGUGUGUGUGUGUGUGUGUGUGUGUGUGUGUGUGUAUGUGUGUGUGGAGAGAGAGAGAGAGAGAGAGGGGGGGGGGGGGGUGUACAUGAGAGUGCAUGUGAGGGUGUAUUUGUGAGUCAGGAGCUUGUCUAGAGACAGAAUUUACCCCUGAGCAGGUAACUAUGACAUCAGAGACUAUGACAUCAAGGGUGGACUGUGAAUACAGGGUGGGCGGGGGCAGGUCCCACACUUGGAUACCAGCAGCGAUGGGAAGCCAUGACACCUGUGGGGCUGCUCUGCCCUGGUCUUCUCUUCAGCGCCUGGGACUAGCAAUUGUGCCCUUCCACUAUGAAUUGCCUUGGGUUACCUAGGACCCAGCAUAUUCAGGCUCAGACCCUUCCUCUAAGUUGGGACCAUUAAGGGACCCCCCCCAGAAGUGCCAGCAGGGGGGACCUCACUGAAUUGCUCCCCAGAAAUCUAAGGGCAGGCCUAUGGUGCAGGAGCCAAGGGCCUGAAGGUGUAGGCACCUGCCUGGAGGAAGAGGCUGCGCUUGGAGCUUAGCUGGGAAAGUAUCCAACUCCCACAAGGACUCGGGGCCAACACUGAAAAACCUCAAGCUCACCAAAUCUCUCUCCCCUCUCCUGUCCCUUCCCUGUGUCUGUCCUUAAAAGAAGGCAGCAUGGCAUUCUGAGUAAUGAGCCGGCUGUAUCCAGUUCUGCCCUAACAGAAGUCAAGGAUGAGAGGAGGGGUUCUAUCUAUGCAGCAGAGGGAAAGCCGACAUCCCCGCUGGAUACAGGCUUUCCGGCAUGGCUACUUUAAGGUUAUCCACGCUCAUGUCUAUAACCCCUCACCCAAUGCUCUGUGUGGUGGAUUGAAAGAAAAGGGCCCGCAUAGGUUCAUAGGAGUGGUGCUAUUAGGAGGUGUGGUCUUGGUGGAAGAAGUGUGUGUGUAUGUAAAGGGCUUUGAGAUCUCAGAUGUUCAAGCUAGGUCCAGUGUGAUUCUCUUCCUGCCACCUGGCGAUCCAGAUGUAAACUCUCAGCCCCCUUCUCCAGCACCAGGUCUGCCUGCAAGCUACCAUGCUUCCUCCCAUGCCAGCAAUAGACUGAACCUCUGAACCCAUAAGCCAGCCUCAAUG